GCUUUCAUGCGUAUUAUGACAUGUGCUCAAGAGCUCUUGAUAAGCGCGAAUCUGAAGUAACUAGUAGGGCAGUGCUUUGCGUUGUUGAGGCUUUACUGUUGGAUUGCGGAGCUUCCAUUGGUCCGUUUCUACCGCAAAUCGUAGCGUUGCUGAUGACGAUGUUUGAUGAAAAUAAUGAACUGAAAUCUACACGACUUUUCUAAAUAAAAACAUUUUUGGUGUGCGUGUGCUGUAACGCACGUGCGACAUUACUAGCCUGGUAGUCUUUAGAUAAUAACUUUAUGCAAAUGGAACUUUUUUUGAGUAUUUGGCUUGCAAAUAUUGGUGUUAUGAUGAGGGCUCAAACAUUGAAAGUUUUAAUAAUCCCUAUAUGUUCCUUGCUGCGUUUGCCUCAUGAAGAACUCCCUCUAGUUAUACAAAAAGAAAUUUUCUCGUUUGCUUCGUAUUCUUAACGAUGCGGUUUUUCUAUACCCCUCCGCCCUCGAAAAAGAACCAUUGGAGCUUAAGAAAGAGGAAAACUACCAAUCAGACGUGCCUUAUGGUGGCGAGUCCCCCAAUAACGAAACUCUUAGCGAUGACGAAGAUGCUGAAAAUGAAGAUUUGCCUUCGAAUUUGGAAGAUGAAAAUUUUGAGGAUGAAUAUUGGACUGACGACAACUAUUUCGAUGUGUCUUUCCCGUCUGCAUUCGAUCGCGUAGAUCCUCUUGCUUUUUUUCCGCGAAACUUAUUUGAAUCCAAGAUUGGCUGAGCUUUUAAACGAGGUCCUGCAAUCUUCUACUAAUUUUUCUUGCUAACUAUCUUUUUUUUUAUUAUACUG